rnacentral:rRNA from 1 species
GACGAACGCUGGCGGCGUGCUUAACACAUGCAAGUCGAGCGGUAAGGCCCUUUCGGGGGUACACGAGCGGCGAACGGGUGAGUAACACGUGGGUGACCUGCUCUCAGCUCUGGGAUAAGCCUGGGAAACCGGGUCUAAUACCGGAUAUGACUCCAUGACGCAUGUUGUGGGGUGGAAAGCCUUGUGCGGCUGAGGAUGGGCCCGCGGCCUAUCAGCUUGUUGGUGGGGUGAUGGCCUACCAAGGCGACGACGGGUAGCCGGCCUGAGAGGGCGACCGGCCACACUGGGACUGAGACACGGCCCAGACUCCUACGGGAGGCAGCAGUGGGGAAUCUUGCGCAAUGGGCGAAAGCCUGACGCAGCGACGCCGCGUGAGGGAUGAC